rnacentral:rRNA from 1 species
GGGGAGGAGCCCAGAGCCUGAAUCAGCAUGUGUGUUAGUGGAAGCGUCUGGAAAGGUGCGCGAUACAGGGUGACAGCCCCGUACACAAAAGCGCAUGUGCUGUGAGCUCGAUGAGUAGGGCGGGACACGUGGUAUCCUGUCUGAAUAUGGGGGGACCAUCCUCCAAGGCUAAAUACUCCUGACUGACCGAUAGUGAACCAGUACCGUGAGGGAAAGGCGAAAAGAACCCCGGCGAGGGGAGUGAAAAAGAACCUGAAACCGUGUACGUACAAGCAGUGGGAGCACAGGUUUACCUGUGUGACUGCGUACCUUUUGUAUAAUGGGUCAGCGACUUAUAUUCUGUAGCAAGGUUAACCGAAUAGGGGAGCCGGAGGGAAACCGAGUCUUAAUUGGGCGUUAAGUUGCAGGGUAUAGACCCGAAACCCGGUGAUCUAGCCAUGGGCAGGUUGAAGGUUGGGUAACACUAACUGGAGGACCGAACCGACUAAUGUUGAAAAAUUAGCGGAUGACCUGUGGCUGGGGGUGAAAGGCCAAUCAAACCGGGAGAUAGCUGGUUCUCCCCGAAAGCUAUUUAGGUAGCGCCUCGUGAAUUCAUCUCCGGGGGUAGAGCACUGUUUCGGCUAGGGGGCCAUCCCGGCUUACCAACCCGAUGCAAACUGCGAAUACCGGAGAAUGUUAUCACGGGAGACACACGGCGGGUGCUAACGUCCGUCGUGAAGAGGGAAACAACCCAGACCGCCAGCUAAGGUCCCAAAGUCAUGGUUAAGUGGGAAACGAUGUGGGAAGGCCCAGACAGCCAGGAUGUUGGCUUAGAAGCAGCCAUCAUUUAAAGAAAGCGUAAUAGCUCACUGGUCGAGUCGGCCUGCGCGGAAGAUGUAACGGGGCUAAACCAUGCACCGAAGCUGCGGCAGCGAACGUAUCACCCAAGACAACUUUACGGAGUUGACGAUUGACGGAGCGAAGCGACGUCAAAGCGUUCAUUAAAGUCGAGUUGGCUUAGGGAUACGUUCGUUGGGUAGGGGAGCGUUCUGUAAGCCUGUGAAGGUGUGUCGUGAGGCAUGCUGGAGGUAUCAGAAGUGCGAAUGCUGACAUAAGUAACGAUAAAGCGGGUGAAAAGCCCGCUCGCCGGAAGACCAAGGGUUCCUGUCCAACGUUAAUCGGGGCAGGGUGAGUCGACCCCUAAGGCGAGGCCGAAAGGCGUAGUCGAUGGGAAACGGGUUAAUAUUCCCGUACUUGGUGUUACUGCGAAGGGGGGACGGAGAAGGCUAUGUUGGCCGGGCGACGGUUGUCCCGGUUUAAGCGUGUAGGUGUGUGUUCCAGGUAAAUCCGGUUCACUUUAACACUGAGGCGUGACGACGAGGCACUACGGUGCUGAAGCAACAAAUGCCCUGCUUCCAGGAAAAGCCUCUAAGCAUCAGGUAACACGAAAUCGUACCCCAAACCGACACAGGUGGUCAGGUAGAGAAUACCAAGGCGCUUGAGAGAACUCGGGUGAAGGAACUAGGCAAAAUGGUGCCGUAACUUCGGGAGAAGGCACGCUGACACGUAGGUGAAGUGAUUUACUCAUGGAGCUGAAGUCAGUCGAAGAUACCAGCUGGCUGCAACUGUUUAUUAAAAACACAGCACUGUGCAAACACGAAAGUGGACGUAUACGGUGUGACGCCUGCCCGGUGCCGGAAGGUUAAUUGAUGGGGUCAGCGCAAGCGAAGCUCCUGAUCGAAGCCCCGGUAAACGGCGGCCGUAACUAUAACGGUCCUAAGGUAGCGAAAUUCCUUGUCGGGUAAGUUCCGACCUGCACGAAUGGCGUAAUGAUGGCCAGGCUGUCUCCACCCGAGACUCAGUGAAAUUGAACUCGCUGUGAAGAUGCAGUGUACCCGCGGCAAGACGGAAAGACCCCGUGAACCUUUACUAUAGCUUGACACUGAACAUUGAGCCUUGAUGUGUAGGAUAGGUGGGAGGCUUUGAAGUGUGGACGCCAGUCUGCAUGGAGCCGACCUUGAAAUACCACCCUUUAAUGUUUGAUGUUCUAACGUGGACCCGUAAUCCGGGUUGCGGACAGUGUCUGGUGGGUAGUUUGACUGGGGCGGUCUCCUCCUAAAGAGUAACGGAGGAGCACGAAGGUUGGCUAAUCCUGGUCGGACAUCAGGAGGUUAGUGCAAUGGCAUAAGCCAGCUUGACUGCGAGCGUGACGGCGCGAGCAGGUGCGAAAGCAGGUCAUAGUGAUCCGGUGGUUCUGAAUGGAAGGGCCAUCGCUCAACGGAUAAAAGGUACUCCGGGGAUAACAGGCUGAUACCGCCCAAGAGUUCAUAUCGACGGCGGUGUUUGGCACCUCGAUGUCGGCUCAUCACAUCCUGGGGCUGAAGUAGGUCCCAAGGGUAUGGCUGUUCGCCAUUUAAAGUGGUACGCGAGCUGGGUUUAGAACGUCGUGAGACAGUUCGGUCCCUAUCUGCCGUGGGCGCUGGAGAACUGAGGGGGGCUGCUCCUAGUACGAGAGGACCGGAGUGGACGCAUCACUGGUGUUCGGGUUGUCAUGCCAAUGGCACUGCCCGGUAGCUAAAUGCGGAAGAGAUAAGUGCUGAAAGCAUCUAAGCACGAAACUUGCCCCGAGAUGAGUUCUCCCUGAGACUUAGAGUCUCCUGAAGGAACGUUGAAGACGACGACGUUGAUAGGCCGGGUGUGUAAGCGCAGCGAUGCGUUGAGCUAACCGGUACUAAUGAACCGUGAGGCUUAACCUUACAACGCCGAAG